rnacentral:rRNA from 1 species
CCUACGGGAGGCAGCAGUGGGGAAUCUUGGACAAUGGGGGCAACCCUGAUCCAGCCAUGCCGCGUGAGUGAAGAAGGCCCUAGGGUCGUAAAGCUCUUUCGCCUGUGAAGAUAAUGACGGUAGCAGGUAAAGAAACCCCGGCUAACUCCGUGCCAGCAGCCGCGGUAAU